ensembl:lncRNA
AUCUCUUUCUGGAGAUCACUCUUUUGGAGUUUUUCCUCUGAGCCUUGGAUGUGGAGGGUUUGAAUGAAGCCAUUAACACUCUAAACAACAGGGAUUCAUGUGCAGGAAAUGCCUCAAGAAGAAAAGAAAACAUAACAAGAAGUUGCCAUUAUCUAAGUUUAGACAUUUCAGCAUCAAGCAACACUCAUUCUACAGCAUAUUAAUUGUCGGAAUAAACCUGGGAUGCUGUUAUGUUUACACUUCCUACCCAGCAGUACUCGCCAUGUAGAUAUGUUCCUCCUGUUCAGUUACACAGACGCAGAGAAUGUGCCGUAGUUGAAUUCAGCUGUUCAAUAGCCAAAGAGGAGUUGUGGAAUUACAAGGACUUUUGAAACUUGAUACUUCACAUGUAUUGUAAUAUGUAAUGUACUUUUGGGACACAGAUACAAAUGCUAACAUUAAAUAGGUCAAAAAAAGCAUUACUUUAUUUGCAGAUGUUUAUGUAAUUUUGAGAUAUAAUUUCUAUUCCAACUAAAAUUAAUACUGUCUAUGGUUCUUUCAAAACAUUCAGACUAUCAACGAAUUGGCUUGCACAGAAAAAAAUAUCUGAAGGACACAUUAACCUGUAGAGUUGCUCCAUAUCCUACUCACCUACCAGAGAGCUUGCUCUGUUUUAUAAUUGUUCUCAUGUGUAGCAGAACUUUUUCAAUCCGAAUUCUACUUUCAGUCAACUGGGAAGUAGUAUAUAUGUGCAUCACAUUGGCUUAUGCAUGUAUUUACUUUUACUUAUACUCUGGUGUAGAGGUUGCGAUUUAUUAUCUUAAUUAAAAAAAAUGCAAUAUAUGAUUCUUUGGUAGACUUUUAAGUUUCUUUUCCCUUCCUGUUCUAAGUAUAAGAUGUAAAUAUGUUGAGGAUGGUGUGUGUGACAUAUUAAUUUUAUCAGUUUUCUCUAUGAGGUUAGAAAAUUAUGUCAUUAUCGAGUUUUGUGUAAACAAAGCUAAUUUUCUCAUCUUCUGGACAGAAUUUUUUCAUGUCUGCUAUGCAUAUUAUAGAGGAAGGGAAAUAAAUGUUCUUAAUCACCU